UACGUAGGGAGCAAGCGUUGUCCGGAAUCAUUGGGCGUAAAGCGCGCGUAGGCGGCCCGGUAAGUCCGUUGUGAAAGUCAAAGGCUCAACCUUUGAAUGCCGAUGGAUACUGCCGGGCUCGAGUCCGGAAGAGGCGAGUGGAAUUCCUGGUGUAGCGGUGGAAUGCGCAGAUAUCAGGAGGAACACCAAUAGCGAAGGCAGCUCGCUGGGACGGUACUGACGCUAAGGCGCGAAAGCGUGGGGAGCGAACAGG
rnacentral:rRNA from 1 species